rnacentral:rRNA from 1 species
CAGCAGCCGCGGUAAUACCGGCGGCCCGAGUGGCGGUCACUCUUAUUGGGCUUAAAGCGUCCGUAGCCGGGUUGGGAAGUCCUCCGGGAAAUCUGGCCGCUUAACGGUCAGAAUGCCGGAGGAUACUCCCAGCCUAGGGACCGGGAGAGGCCGAGGGUAUUCCCGGAGUAGGGGUGGAAUCCUAUAAUCCCGGGAGGACCACCGGUGGCGAAGGCGCUCGGCUGGAACGCGUCCGACGGUGAGGGACGAAGGCCAGGGGAGCAAACCGGAUUAGAUACCCGGGUAGUCCUGGCUGUAAACGAUGCGGACUUUGUGUCGGACAAGCUAUGAGCUUGUCCGGUGCCGGAGGGAAACCGUUAAGUCCGCCGCCUGGGGAGUACGGCCGCAAGGCUGAAACUUAAAGGAAUUGGCGGG